AUCGAACGCUGGCGGCAGGCCUAACACAUGCAAGUCGAGCGAGCGGCGGACGGGUGAGUAAUGUAUGGGGUUCUGCCCGAUUGAGGGGGAUAACUACUGGAAACGGUUGCUAAUACCGCAUACUAUGGGAUGGACCCAUAUGGGAUUCGCUAGUAGGUGGGGUAAAGGCUCACCUAGGCGACGAACUCUAGCUGGUCUGAGAGGAUGAUAGGCCACACUGGGACUGAGACACGGCCAAGAGUCCUACGGGAGGCAGCAGUGGGGAACAUGGCACAAUGGGCGCAAGCCUGAUGCAGCCAUGCCGCGUGUAUGAAGAAGGCCUUAGGGUUGUAAAGUACGUUCAGCGGGGAGGCGUUACCCGCAGAAGAAGCACCGGCUAACUCCGUGCCAGCAGCCGCGGUAAUAC
rnacentral:rRNA from 1 species